UGGAAAGCCUAGGAGGUCACAGUCUAUUUCCAUAGCCUCUUUUCCCAAUCGACAAUAAUCAAUAAUUGGGGCCAUGGAGGAGUCUGUCACUGAGAGGGCCCCUACGUAGCCCUGCUUGGUUUCAGGAGUAUAGCUGUAAUUGACCUUAAGCCUUAGUAUUGCAGGAGAGGGAGAUGUCAGGUCUUGGUACCCACAGAAGUUCUUAGGAAGGACCACCAAGUGUGGGUUCUUGGCUUCACGUGGAAAGGAAUGCAAGGGGGAGCCAGAGUAAAGGGAAAGCAAGUUUAUUUAGAAAGAAACACAUUCCAGAGGCAGAAUGCUACCCUCUCAAAAAGUGUAAGCCACUCCAGGACAGAGUCAUAGGUUUUUAUGAGUUAAGUAACUUCAUAGGCUAACAACUAGGCAAGAUAUUCUUGCUAUUUGAAGGAAGGGAAGGGAUUUCCCAAGAAUUGGACCAUUGCUCACUUUCUGGCCUUUUAUAGUUCUCCUAGGAACUGUCAUGGUAUAAGGGGGAGUAAUUUUUAGUGUUACAAUGAAGGUAUAAUGAACUAAAGGUCAAUGCCCAGACUACUCUCAAAGCCACCGUAGUUUCAGCUGGUUCCAGUUGGUCUUUAUUGCAUCCCAGCAGUUGUGCUCUGUUUUCAUUAUCUAGUGCUUUGACCUGCCCCUUUCUCUCCUGUCUCAUCAGAAUGAUGCAAAUCACAUAACUUGCAGGCAACAUAGGUUUUUUGGUAGCCAUGUACUUUUACAUCUUUGCUUAAGACAAACAUACCUCUAGGUUUUUAAAAUUUCCCUUUCUUUGUAAAGUUUCUGAAAGCUGUAGGAAGCAGCCUAAACAUGCCAAUAGCAUUCUUUUUUUUUUUUUUUUCACUUUGGCCCUAUCAGCCUAAGCACCUGGUCUGCCUUCUAGCUUACAGAAGGAAACAAUUUGACUAUUUCACCAUCCAGCUCAUAUUGCACAUCCCACAUUUUCCAGCCUGUGCCACCCACUUCCUGCUUAUUUCCACUGAGCCGAAAUAUUCCUUUUCUUAGCUUUUUGUUUGUUUAUUCACUUUUUUAGAUUGCAACUUUAAUGUACGUACAGAUUAUCUGAUGGGCCUGUUAAAAUGCAGGUUCUGAAUCAGAAGAUCUGGUGUGGGGCUUGAGAUCCAGCAUUUCCAACUCCCAGUUGAUAUCAAUACUGCUAGAAUAGGACCACACUUUGCUUAACUAGAUUCAAGUACCAUGCUGCUUCUAUCUACUAAUUACUGUCUUUACCAGUGAUUUCUGUUUAAGGUAGCCAAAUUUACUCUGAGCUAGUUUAAAUGAAAUGGAAUUCAUGGUUAACACACUUCUAGGGAAACCUGGAGGGUUGAAUCAAGAGACAGUAUUUUGUUGCUUUAAGAACAAAUUCCGAAAUAAUCCAUAGAACCUGGCUAUCAAAGGAGUUGCUGUCUUUGCCAAGAUCAGGCAGAAUAUUAAAUCUGUCACCAUAAUCUUGUGCCUCUUCAAAAAUCAGGAAGUAGCUAUUUAGCUUCUGGCUUCUAUACAAGAUAACCUCUGCCUUAAUCCAUAAGAGCAAAAUUUCCCACUCUCUGCGCCUCCCAGCACAUAGCUAACACUGAAUACAAGUUUCAUAAGAGUGCAUUUAGUUGACAAAACCUAAAUAGCUCAUCCUCCUAAAGAGACACAUCCUGAUUGCAAAGAAAAUAUGAAAUAAAACUUUUACAUUUCUACUUUCUUCCCACUAGGAGACCUGCAUUGGGGUAUGAUGGACAAUCCACAGUAUUCAUCUAUCACAGUCACGUUUUCCAAGAGAUGGACAAUGUCCAAAAACUGCUUAGAUGGUUAAGCAGCUGACAUCAUUUCACACAUAAGGAGACAAACUCAAAGACGUUUAAACAGUUGCUGAAAACUACACACCAUGUAAGUAGUAGAGCUUGGAAAAUAACCUGGAACCAUCCAGUUCCAAAUCCUCUAGUGUCUAUUCCAUCAUGUAUGCCCUAGACAAAAAAAAAAAAAAAA
ensembl:lncRNA